rnacentral:lncRNA from 1 species
UAAAAAAGCAUUAGUGUUACACUUAACGAUGAAUACAUCGGUUGGUAGUAAGUUUGAGAGGUGGGAAUUAUGCAUUCUGGUUGGGAUUAGAGAGUACAUAAGUUGAGAGGGGUUUCGACCCGAAGGCUCAUACUGGUGUUUCUGCUAGCCUUUUCCGGUGAGGGUCUCAUGCAUAACCGACCGGGUUAGACGUUCCUUUAUGUGUAUGUUUUUAAUUUCACAUGACAUAUGCAUGCUAAGAGUGUGACCCUAUGCAUUUAUUUCAUUAUGUUUACUGUAUUUUUAACUUAUGGUGGACAUGAAAUGAUAUAUGAUUUGCUGUCUUGCUAUUAUUUUUGGCGUGAUAUAUUUAUAUAUGUUGUGACCUCAUUUGUACCUGAUGAGAAAUCACCUAGAUAAUUAUUCGAGGGGAAUUAAAUGACGUAAAUGUUUGAUCACCUAGAUUAUGGUCCGUAUGCUGGCGAUCUACGCGUGUGCAUAUUGCACUUCUGCUACGAGUAUAUGACUCUUCAUGGGUACUAUUUAUUCUACGAGUAUAUGGCCCGUAAUGGGUCUUCCCUCUGCUACACGUUUAUGGCCCUGGAUAGGUGUCGCCUCAGCCACGUGAUUGCCCGAGAUUCGUGAUAAAAUUAUAAUAUACCGUAGUACUUGACACUAAACUUUCUAAACUUCAUGUCAUAAUUUCAAUUCCAAACAGAAGUUUCGACGAAAAUCGGGUAUAUUGCACUUAAUUCCGUAAAUUCAACCCUUGGACCUUCACGGUCCGAUUUUAUGUUUUUUCUAGUGUCUUUAAUGAAAUUUCAGGUCACACAAUUAUAAAGGGAUGAAUUACGAAUCCAGCGAUACAAAUCGGAGUUAAAUCAAAUUCCGAACAAAGAAGUAACGGUCGUUUUACGAUCCGCCGCUCAACCAAUCUCCGGAAGGAUAACCGGACAUGGGAGAGGACGUCCAACACAUGUAGGACUGUCCAUAAUCACUCCAGGGACAGAUCCAGCUUGCAUACAACUGAUGGAGUAGGUGUGCCCAUACCAGAGGCUUUAAUACGAUAUUUUUCGAGCCUAUAUAAGGGCAACUCAUCUCCACUUUGAAAACACACGAGAUCAAACCUCUUCUUUAUAACAUAUGUGGGUAUGGUAUAACCGUAUAAGUAUGAGUUUGGGGCGGGGAAACCCAUCUCGUUUUGUCCUGUUUGAUUUUCCGUGUAUUUUUUGUACCUUCUCCUUAAUUCGUUUUGUACUAGUAUUAUCCUCUUUCAUCAAAAUGGAUAAGGUGGAAUAAAAUUGGCAUGCCUAAUUAUUAAUACAUUGGGCCAUUUGGCCACUGGAUACAAUUAUGAUAUAAUUUGUGUGACCUUAUCUUAUAAUAUAUCAUGAUUUGAUAUAUUUGAUUAAAAAAAAUUCGCCUCAAUCCAUC